GUACACGCUGUGACUAGCAUAUCAAUAAGCGGAGGAAAAGAAACUAACAAGGAUUCCCCUAGUAACGGCGAGUGAAGCGGGAAGAGCUCAAAUUUGAAAUCUUCAAGGUUUUACCUUGACGAAUUGUAGUUUAAAGAAGUGUUUUCUGUUGAAGUUUUGGUAAAAGUUCUUUGGAAUAGGACAUCAUAGAGGGUGAGAAUCCCGUAUUUGACCAUUUACUUUUCAGCUUUGUGAUACACUUUCAAAGAGUCGGAUUGUUUGGGAAUGCAGUCCAAAAUGGGAUGGUAAAUUUCAUCUAAAGCUAAAUAUUGGCGAGAGACCGAUAGCGAACAAGUACCGUGAGGGAAAGAUGAAAAGAACUUUGAAAAGAGAGUUAAACAGUACGUGAAAUUGUCAAAAGGGAAGCGUUUGACACCAGUGUUGUUUUUCUGAAAAUCAAUUAAAGAACUGUUUAUGCUAAGCUGUUUAGACUUUAUCAGCUAUCUGUUUAGUUUUGAGCUCUUCUUUAAUGCACUUUUCAGUUAACAAGUCAACAUCAAUUUCUUUUGCUGUAAAAAAGCUUGAGGAAGGUGGCUUGAGAUUCGUCUUAAGUGUUUAUAGCCUCUUGCCUAUGCAGUCGGAGAGAUUGAGGUCUGCAGCGUAGAUCCUUCGGGGCUAAAUGCAUUUGUGCUAAGUUAUAGCAUUUUAUAGACAACUUGUUGACUAUGAUUUGUCUUGUAGCUUACUCGCUUAUGCUAUUUUACCUACGCUUAGGAUGUUGACGCAUGAGAUAUACGC
rnacentral:rRNA from 1 species